rnacentral:rRNA from 1 species
CCUACGGGUGGCAGCAGUGAGGAAUAUUGGUCAAUGGCCGGAAGGCUGAACCAGCCAUGCCGCGUGAAGGUCAGUGCCCUAUGGGCGUUAAACUUCUUUUGUGCGGGAGCAAUAAUGGUCACGUGUGGCCAGAAGUGAGUACCGUACGAAUAAGCAUCGGCUAACUCCGUGCCAGCAGCGGCGGUAAUACGGGGGAUGCAAGCGUUAUCCGGAUUUAUUGGGUUUAAAGGGUGAGUAGGCUGUGAGGUAAGUCAGCGGUGAAAUGCCCCCGCUCAACGGGGUGAAGUGCCAUUGAUACUGGCUUGCUGGAAUGCGGAUGCCGUGGGAAGAAUGUGAGGUGUAGCGGUGAAAUGCAUAGAGAUCACACAGAACACCGAUUGCGAAGGCAUCUCACGAAUCCGCGAUUGACGCUGAUGCACGAAAGCGUGGGGAUCAAACAGGAUUAGAUACCCUUGUAGUC